rnacentral:rRNA from 1 species
CAGUCGCCACGGGAAUACGUAGGGUGCGAGCGUUAAUCGGAAUUACUGGGCGUAAAGCGGGCGCAGACGGUUACUUAAGCAGGAUGUGAAAUCCCCGGGCCCAACCUGGGAACUGCGUUCUGAACUGGGUGACUAGAGUGUGUCAGAGGGAGGUAGAAUUCCACGUGUAGCAGUGAAAUGCGUAGAGAUGUGGAGGAAUACCGAUGGCGAAGGCAGCCUCCUGGGAUAACACUGACGUUCAUGCCCGAAAGCGUGGGUAGCAAACAGGAUUAGAUACCCCGGUAGUCCAUGUCUCUUAUAC